CCGAGUUACAACUCCCAAACCCCUGUGAGCAUACCACUUGUUGCCUCGGCGGAUCAGCCCGCUCCCGGUAAAACGGGACGGCCCGCCAGAGGACCCCUAAACUCUGUUUCUAUAUGUAACUUCUAGAGUAAAACCAUAAAUAAAUCA
rnacentral:misc_RNA from 1 species